CCUUGCGCGGGUUUGCCCCGCCAGAGUAAUCCGGAAGAGGCCUCUUAUUAGGGCUCUGGUGGCGGCGGCGGCGGACGCUUGGGGUCUGGACGCAACGGCGGUGGGAGCAUGAACGCCCCUCCAGCCUUCGAGUCGUUCUUGCUCUUCGAGGGCGAGAAGAAGAUCACCAUUAACAAGGACACCAAGGUACCCAAUGCCUGUUUAUUCACCAUCAACAAAGAAGACCACACACUGGGAAACAUCAUUAAAUCACAACUCCUAAAGGACCCGCAAGUGCUAUUUGCUGGCUACAAAGUCCCCCACCCCUUGGAGCACAAGAUCAUCAUCCGAGUGCAGACCACGCCGGACUACAGCCCCCAGGAAGCCUUUACCAACGCCAUCACCGACCUCAUCAGUGAGCUGUCCCUGCUGGAGGAGUGCUUCCAGACGUGCCUGCUUCCCCUUCGCCUUCUGCCGUGAUCGUCAGUUUCCUGAGGCCUCCCCAGCCACGCUUCCUGUACAGCCUGCAGAACUUCUGGCAUGGAAAAGCCCCCGUGCAACUGGUAAAGAUAUCAAUAAGCACCAGGAGGUAUCUAAAUCCACCAGGAGCCAUAGGCAUCACGUUGACGUCCAUUUACCAGUCUUCCCUGGCAAGAUUCUUCUGAAUUGUGCUGCCUUGGCCAAAAGAGGACUCCUAGAAGGACCCCACCCCCCUCCCCCCACCCCUGCUCCUAGGAGGACAACGUGAUCACUGUAUUCAGCUCCAUCAAGAAUGGUCCAGGUUCUUCUAGAUGAUCUGCACAAAUGGUUCCUCUCCUCCUUCCUGGUGUCUGCCAUUAGCAUUGGAAUAAAGUUCCUGCUGAAAAUCCACAUCUCCCCUGGGUCCGGUGUUCUGGAAGUGAGAGAGACAAUGUCACACUUCAAGGAGGCAGCUCUCUAGACAGGAAGGUUAUUCACGUCCCAUGUCAAGUCUAGAGUUCAGAGCAAUUGAGAAAUGCAAUUUUAUCUGCUGCCUUUCAUUCUAUACCCUGCUUCUGAACCAUCGUGUUCAACUGUGAAACUCACACUUUGGUGACCAUGACUCCAAAACUCACUUAAUACACCCAAGGUCAGCCCCAGUGAUCUGCUUCAUAGCAAGGACUUUGGGUGGGUCUGCCCAGGGAGUAGGGCACCCUCAGAGAAUGUGGCUUUGGACUUCAUCACAGCUGGGGCCUUUUGUGUCACUUAAGAUCUAAACUUGUAACCAUGCUAGAUGUGUUUCUAAUGUGACAACAUCACGAACCACGAGUCCAGAAGCCUAAUCCUUAAUCCUACCUCCUCAUGAUGAAGUCUCAUGCUCUGUGCUCAACGUGGUUAGCUGCACAAGAUGUAAACCAAAGCUUCACUGAACCCUCGACCCAAAUCGGUAACUCAAGUGUGUCAAUCAUAAUGAACCUCCCCAAACUCAGUAUUUAUGAUUAUUUUUGAGGCAGGGUCUCACUCUGUCGCCCAGACGGAGUGCAGUGGCAGGAUCAGGGCUCCGUGCAGCCCCGACCUUCCAGGCUCCAGCGAUCCUCCUGCCUCAGCCUCCUGAGUAGUUGGGAGUAGAGAUGCGUCCCACAUCGCCUGGCUAAUUUUUGUAUUUUUGUGGAGAGGGGAUCUCGCCACGUUGCCCAGGCUUGAAGCCGGAUCAAGCAGUUGAGUUCUUCGGAUUUCCGAAACAGACCCCAGUAUUCUGCCUUUACCCCGGAGGAUGCAGAUGUACCUUCUCUCAGGCCGAUGACCUCAGGCCUCCACGGUCCCUGGAGCUCUAGGAAAGGCGAGCGCGAUCUCGUGCCCACACCCAGUGCUCUGGGUCAUAAGCCUGGAUCUGGAAAAACAAACGCCCUUUGAGAAGACGGGGACUCGCCAGGAUACCCCUCUCUCCCCUCAUCCAGCCUCCAGCCCACCCAAUUCCUCCCCACCUCCUCCACCUCCCCGGGCCCCACUCACCUCCUCCAACUCCUCCGGGGAAACCCAAGCCCUGCCGCUCAUGGAACAGAAGAAGUGGAACCGACGUUUCUGGAACAGGACUAUCUGAGAGCGGUUCUUCCUGGCCCUCGGGUUCAUGCAACGGCCUAACUGGAACCGACGCUUACGGACCAAGGGUAUGCGAGAGCGGUUCUUCCUGGCCCUCGGGUUCAUGGAACGGCCUAACUGGAACCGACACUUACGGAGCAAGGGUAUGCGAGAGUGGUUCUUCCUGGCCCUCGGGUUCAUGGAACGGCCUAACUGGAACCAAUGCUUACGGAGCAAGGGUAUGCGAGAGCGGUUCUUCCCAUACAGGAAGUGGAAGAUGUUUUGUUUGGAGUCCUCGUCGUCCUCCUCCAUGUCAUUGGCCAGGUAGCUGAGGACAGAAAUCAGGUUGCUGCUCAGGGGCACCACCAGGAGAGGCCUCUGGCUGAGGUCAGCUUCCCAGAGAGGAAGGUAAGGGACCGUCCCUAGCUCAGGACUGGCACCCACCCUGCAGAGAGCCAUGCCUUCCUCAGGAGGGCUCUGCUGGACAGAGACCUGAUCAAGGGCGUCUCCCACUCCUUCAGGAUGGAGACAAAAACCCAACUGGUGGCCGAGAGUGGUGGCUUACGCCUGGAAUCCCAGCACAUUGGGAGGCCAAAGCAGGAGGAUCACUUGAGGCCAGGAGUUUGAGAUGGGCCUGGGCAACAUAGCAAGACCCUCAUCUCUAUUAAAAAUAUAAGAAAUAUGCCAGAUGCGGUGGCUCAUGCCUGUAAUCCCAGCACUUUAGAAGGCUGAAGCAGAUGGAUCGCUUGAGACCAGGAGUUGGAGACCAGCCUGGUCAACACGGAGAAACCCCAUCUCUACUAAAAAUACAAAAAUCAGCCUGGUGCGGUGGCACACCCGUUAGGCCUAGCUACUCAGGAGGCUGAAGCAUAAGAAUUGUGUGAACCCAGGAGGCGGAGGUUGCAGUGAGUUGAGACUGGGCCACUCCAUUCCAGCCUGAGAGGCAGAGCAAGACUCUGUCUCAAUAAACAAACAAACAAACAAACUGUCCAGGUGUGGUGGCACAGCCCUGUAGUCGGAGCUAAUAAAGAAGCUGAGGUGGGAGGAUCGUUUGAGCCCAGGAUAUGGAGGCUGCGGUGAGCUAUGAUCUCACCACUGCACUCCAGCUUGGGGGACAGGGCAAGUCUGUCUCAAAAAAAUAAAAGAAAUUGAAUACAUUGAUAUUUUGCCAGGACCCUGCCUUCUACAGGCAUCUAGUCUAAUGGGACUGGGAGUAAUCAAGGCAGAUGACCUAAUCCCAGUGUCCAGGAUGUAACUAGAGAGCUACGGGCAUGCAGAAGUUGGAAGAUGAGGGAAGGCGUCACAGAGGCUGUGGGGUGAACUGACUUCAAGGAAUGGGUCCUUCCCUUCAGAGCCACAUGUGUGUGGGACACCCAGACAGAAAACACAAACACAAAGUCGAGUGGAGGGCAUUUGGAAGGAGCAGUGAAGCCGAGCCAGGAAAUACCAAGAUGGCGAGUCAGUGUGCUUGUAGAGAUUGUAGAGAGGGUAGAAUUGACACUGUGGACCCUGGCCUCGAUAGAGAAAGGCAUCAGCUAAGGAAGUUGUUCAGGUGGGCAGUGAGGUUGUCGUGCUUUGGAAAGAUGUUCAGGCUGCACUAGGAAGCCCCCUGGCUUGGGGAGAGACUCCAGGAGACCCCAGCGGGGAGCAUUUGACAGUGGAUUCGAGUGAUGCGAGGGGGACCUGAACUGUGGCCUCUGUCAUGGGAACCCAGAGGAGGUCGAUGGCGUUUGUGGUUGAUGUGGGAAGGAGAGAGAGAGAAGAACCAGAAAUGUCUGCUUGCUGGAGGAAGCGGCAUGUCCGCUCCUCCACUCCUUUUCUUUUCCCCUUAGGAGCGGUUUAUGGUUCUUUUUGUUUUAUUCUUUUAUUUGUACACUGGCAUUGGAGUUUGUUUUUUUGGCUUUGUUUUUUUUUUUUUUUUUUUUUGAGAAAAAGUCUCACUCUGUCACCCAGGCUGGAGUGCAGUGGCUCGACCUUAGCUUACUGCAACCUCCACCUCCUGGGUUCAAAGGGUUCUCUUGCCUCAGCCUCCCGAGUAGCUGGGAUUACAGAUGCACACCACCACGCCCAGCUAAUUUUUCUAUUUUUAGUAGAGACGGGGUUUGGCCAUGUUGGCCAGGCUGGUCUCGAACUGCUGACCUCAGGUGAUCCGCCUGCCUCGGCCUCCCAAAGUGCUGGGAUUACAGGCGUAUGCCACUGUGCCCAGCCUGAGUUUCUGUUUAGAAACAACAGUCUAUGAUAGUAUAAUCCUCUCUUUUUUGUACACAAAGAGGACAAAUAGGUGAAAGAAUAAACGAAAGGCUGGAAUCCCACUUCCCCCGCUGUCCCAGGGCAUUGGAUAUUGACGGAUAGGAGGCAGCAAACCACUCACAGAGCCAGGAAGAAAUGAAUGCGUUGGUAUAGCCAGGAGGGGAAGCCGGCCCGGCUGAAAUACGCUAUGACCAUAGCCAGGAGAUACUGAUGGAGAGAAAGGAACACAGAGAGGGAGAGGUCACAUCUUGGAAGAGGAAGAUUGUGGAGAGGGGGAAUGAGGGUCUGGGGAGGGGCUGCCCAUCAGAGAAGGGACCUCAGUGUUGGGGUGACUGUACUCAUUUGGAAAUUGCGGGAUGGAGGGGUAUUCGAAGGUCAGAUGCAAAUCCGAGAAGCCAGAGGAAGGGUUUUGGGUGAUGCUCCCAGGAUGGUGGGCUCCGAUGGGAUCUUUGGAGGGGGUGUGUCUAGGUCGGCUGGUGUCAGGAGGGUCUUUUGUGUGCCAGGCAGAGAACUGUCCCGAAGAGCUGAGAGUAGAGGGGCCAGGAGCUUCAGGGCUGCGGCCAGACUGUGGCCCAGAGCUCAGAUCCCAAAGGACCCAUAGGAGAGGCAGGGGCCACUCAUUCACUCUGCAAGAGACCAGCAGAAUCCUGAGGGAGAUGCUGACAAAUCAUAAAAAGACCAAGAAUAGCUGGGAGUGGUGGCUCAAGCCUGUGAUCCCAGUACUUUUUGAGAGGUGGAGACAGGAGGAUCAUGUGAGCCCAACAGUUCGAGAACAACCUGGGCAACAUAGUGAGACCCUGUUUCUACAAACAUUUCAAAAAUUAGUUGAGCAUGGUGGCAUGUGCCUAGUCCCAGCUCCUCAGGAGGCUGAGGAAAGAAGAUUGCUUGAGCCCAGGAAUUAGAGGCUGCAAUGAGCUAUGAUCAUGCCACUGCACUCCAUCCUGGGGAGCAGAGCUAGACUCUGUCUCACAAAAAAAAAUUUGUGGGUGCCAAGACUCAAGACCAUGGGAGCUGGUCGGGCACAGUGGCUGACAUCUAUAGUCUCAGCACUUUGGGAGGCCAAGGCGGGUGGAUCGCCUGAGGUCAGGUGUUCAGGACCAACCUGGCCAACAUGGCAAAACCCCGUUUCUACUAAAAACACAAAAAUUAGCCAGGCGUGGUGGUUCAUGUCUGUAAUCCCAGCUGCUUGGAGGCUGAGGCAGGAGAAUCGCUUGAACCCGGGAGGCAUCGGCUGCAGUGAGUCAAGAUCGAGACACUGCCCUCCAGCCUGGGCAACAGAGCAAGACUCUGUCUCACAAAAAAAAAAAAAAAAAAAAAAAAGACUGUAGGAGCAUCUGGUGGGAGGUGGUGGAGGGAGAACUGUGGGUUUGGAAGCUGCACCCUCCCCCCAGCCAUGCGUUGGAACAGGAACAGUUACAUGGAGAACAACCUUACCUUGUCCGACACCCUCAGAUCUUUGUCCCAGGCCAGGAAUCUUUUAAUGACAGGAUCCUCUGUGAUUAGAGAGCAGAUGUCAGUGUGAGAAGCAGGACAGGGUUUCCGUGGGAGCAGCAGGGCAGUGAGGAGAAGUGUGCCUCCCGGGGGGAGGUCUCAGGAUUGUGGCCGCGGGUGAGGUGGAUGGGAGAGGGGAGAAUGACUUUCACUGGGCAAGGGAGAGAGGCUCCUGCUCUGAGACUCCCCUGAGAAGAGGCCGAAGGAGGCCCUGGGUGUGAGAAUCUACAGGAUGUAGAGCUGGGAAUCAGCCAGGACCCCCUCCAGCAGACACGGAGGGACCACUGCAGAGUCAUAAAGGAAUUCCCAUCAUUUCCUCAUGAGACAGUCACAUCAGGGUGUGACCAUGGCCUUGGUAUCUCCCACUAUGGAUGGAGACACUUAGGUUUAGAAAAGUCAGUAAGAGACAUUAAGUUUCAGAGGGCACAGCUGAAACCACUUUCUUUGUUUAUUGAUUUUGUUUUUCUUUAUUUGAUUUUUAUUUUUAUUUAUUAAUUUAUUUUGAGACAGAGGCUUGCUCUGUGGGCCAGGCUGGAAUGCAGUGGCCUGAUCUUGGCUCACUGCAACCUCUGCCUCCCGGGUUUAAGCGAUUCUCCUGUCUCAGCCUCCCGAGUAGCUGGGAUUACAUGCAUGAGCUACUGUGCCCAGCCUUGGUUUUUCUUUUGAGACAGGGUUUUGCUCUGUCACCCAGGCUGGAGUGCAGUGGUGUAGUCAUAGCUCACUGCAGCCUCAAAGUCCUGAGUUCAAGCAAUCCUCUCGCCUCAGCCUCCCAACGUGCUGGGAUCUCAGGCGGGAGCCACUGCGCCUGGCCUGAAACCAAGCUUUCUUAUCCCAAGUGCUGACCUUUAUCAAGUUGACCUAAUCCUUUAUCAUCUCCUAAGUGUCCCUCAUGAGUGAUCACUUCACAUUCCUCCCACAUGGAGAGCUCACCCACUGGGGCAUAUUUUUCCCAUUGGAAAAGUGUGGUUAUUGGAAGUUUCCUGUUUUUGGAAAGAACAGGAUUGGAGGUGCUCUCUGGGGUGUCCUCCUACCAAGCAGCCUGUUGAAGGCCUCGUGGUGCUCAGGGAGCACGAGCGACACUCGCCGUCGCUUCAGCUUCAUCUUGAGGCCAGACAGCAUCUCCGCCACCCAGAUCUCCUCAGGCUCAGGGGCGAGCACCUUCCGUGGCUCCUCCUCCAACGACUCCUCAGAUUCGUCCCACCACUCCAUCUUCCUUUUCCAGCAAAAGGACCUAUGCAGGGGGCUGGGAUCUACCCCAGGGGCUGAGUAAAGAAACCAGGCCACGGUGUAAUGCUUCUGCAGUUGAUCACACUAGAGCCCAACCCAAAACCCCAAACCACUCUCCAUCCUCCCCAGCCUCGCAGACUGCUGGCUUCUCCAAGCCAUCUUUCCUUCUGUCUGUCUCCUCUGCUGAGCUCCAUGUGCCGCUCCUUCUUCUCCCCAUUCUCCCGUUUCUCUGUCCUCAGAACACUUCCUCAUAUCCUUCCCUGGUCCCUGACUCUCUUGAGUCCCUUUUUGUUGUUGUUGUUGUUGUUGUUGUUGAGAAACAGUCUUGCUUCGUGGCCUAGGCUGGAGUGUAGUGGUGCGAUCUUGGCUCACUGCAACCUCUGUCUUCUGGGUUCCAGUGAUUCUCCUGUCUAAGCCUCCCAAGUAGCUGGGAUUACAGGUGCCCACCAAAACGCCCAGCUCAUUUUUGUGCUUCUAGAAGAGACAGGGUUUCACCAUGUUGGCCAGGCUGGUCUCCAACUCCUGGCCUCAAGUGAUCUGCCUGCCUGGCCUCCCAAAGUGCUGGGAUUACAGGUGUGAGCCACUGCACCCUGCCUCAGUACCUCCAUUCUUCCCACACACCCUCCUCACGUGCUCCUUCCUGACUUCUGGGCCCUUUUUUUUUUUUUUUUUUUUUUGAGACAGCGUCUCACUCUCUCACCCAGAAUGGAAUGCAGUGGCGCUAUCUUGGCUCAAAGCAACCUCUUCCACCUGGGUUCAAGCGAUUAUCCUGUCUCAGCCUCCCGAGUAGCUGGGAUAGCAGGCAUGCCUGGCUAAUUUUUGUAUUGUUUGUAUAAAUGAGGUUUCGCUAUAUUGGUCUGGUUGGUCUCGAACAACUGACCUCAAGUGAUCCACCCAUCUCAGCCUCCCAAAGUAAUGAGAUUACAGGCAUGAGCUACCACACCCGGCCUUCGUUUUUCUUUUGACACAGGGUUUUGCUCUGUCACCCAGGCUGGAGUGCAGUGGUGCAGUCAUAGCUCACUGCAGCCUCAAAGUUCUGAGUUCAAGCAAUCCUCUUGCCUCAGCCUCUCAAUGUGCUAGGAUCUCAGGCGUGAGCCACUGCACCUGGCCCGAAACCAAGCUUUCUCAUCCCAAGCGCCAACCUUUAUCAAGUCUAGCCUAGUCCUCUAUCGUCUCCUAAGUGUCCCUCAUGAGUGAUCACUUCUGAGUCCUCCUGCGUGGAGAGCUCACCCACUGGGGGCGUAUCUUUCCCAUUGGAAAAGUGUGGUUAUUGGAAGUUUCCUCUUUUUUAGAAAGAACAGGAUUGGAGGUGCUCUCUGGGGUGUCCUCCUACCAAGCUGACUGUUGAAGUCCUUGUGGUGCUCAGGGAGGAUGGGUGACACUCGCUGUUGCUUCAGCUUCAUCUUGAGCCCACACAGCAUCUCCACUACCCAGGUCUCCUCAGGCUCAGGGGCGAGCUCCUUCUCCGGCUCCUCAGAUUCAUCUGACCGCUCCCUCUUCCUUUUCCAGCCAAGGGACCUACAUGGGGGGCUGGGAUCUACCCCAGGGGCUGAGUAAAGAAACCAGGCCACCGUGUAAUGCUUCUGCAUCUGAUCACCUUAGACCCCGACCCAAAACCCCAAACCACUCUCCAUCCUCCCCAGACUCGCAGACUGCUGGCUUCUCUAAGCCAUCUUUCUGAUUUUCUCCUCUGCUCAACCCCAUGUGCCGCUCCUUCCCCUCCCCAUUCUUCUCUCUCUCUGUCCUCCGAACACUGCUUCAUGUCCUUCCCUGGUCCCUGGCUCUCUGAGUCCCUCCUUUUUUGUUUCAUUUUGUUUUGACACAGAAUCUUGCUUUGUCACCCAGGCUGGAGUGUAGUGGUGCAAUCUCAGCUCACUGCAACAUCCAUCUCCUGGAUUCCAUUUAUUCUUCUGCCUCAGCCUCUCAGGUAGCUGGGAUUACAGGUGCCUGCCAUAAUGCCCAGCUCAAUUUUGUACUUUUAGUAGAGACAGGGUUUCACCAUGUUGGCCAGGCUGGUCUCAAACUCCUGGCCUCAAGUGAUCCGCCUGCCUUGGCCUCCCAAAGUUCUGGGAUUACAGGUGUGAGCCACCCCACCCAGCCUGAAUUUCUCCAUUCUUCCCACACACCCUCCUCAGGUUCUCCUUCCUGACCGCUGACCCUUCUUUUCUUUUCUUUUUUUUUUUUUUUUUGGAGUGCAGUAGCGUGAUCUCAGCUCACUGCAACCUCUUCCUCCCAGUCUCAAGUGAUUCUCCUGUCUCAGUCUCCUGAGUAGCUGGGAUUACAGGUGUGCACCACUACCACUUGGCUAAUUUUUAUACUUUUAGUAGAGAUUGGGUUUCACCAUAUUGGCCAGGCUGGCCUUGAACUCCUGACCUCAGGUGAUCCGCCCGCCUCGGCCUCCCAAAGUGCUGGGGUUACAGGCGUGAGCCACCACACCCGGCCCCCUUCCUUUGUCUUAGUCAAUCCUAUCCCACCUCUUCUUCCACCAGUCCCCUCACCUGAUGGUCCCAACACUUCAUCAUCCACCACCUCCUGGAGGGGGUAGCCCGAGGUGCUCCGCUGGGGACUCUGCUCAUUCUGGGGGUGCAGUUGACGGCUGGUCGUGAUCUUUCCUGUAAUCUGUCCCCUCUUAUGGAACCUAGUCUCCGUUCUGUCCAUGGCCUUCUUCUGGACACUGCUAGGAUCCAGAAGAGUAUGUUAUCAAUUCUCAAGCCUAGGAGAAGUCAGGAGUGUAGAACAGCUCUGAGAAGAUACUGUUGUCCAACUGAUCUCCAGGUGCCACGGAGUCCGGUCCCUCCAAUCAGGAAGGUCGGAAUCUCUGAUGUCAUCGUCCGUGCGAACCUGGCAACCAGUUUGAAAAAAAACACAUGUAACUGCUAGUCUGAUCUCUUGUCCUGGAGAUCCUGGGUGAAUGGUAUCUCCUGCCACUGUCCCAACCUCAGACCAUUGUCCAAAAGCAUCUUCAGGGACUCCACAUCCCUCUGUUCCCUGUCCCAGCAGAGGCUGUGUCCUCUCCACUCGAAGCCUGAAGCAUGUUGGGGUCUCUUCGUCUCUGUACAUGCCCAUUUCAGAGUCCAGUCUGGUGGGAGAGGGAACAGAGUGGGAAAGAAAACUAGGGUAAGCAGAAACGAUGAAACCUUAUAAGAGUGAGAUUAUCAUGUACAAGAGUGAGAUUAUCAUGUACAAAAGUGAGAUUAUCAUGUACAAGAGAUCCCAGGAAUACUGACUUGAUGAAAAAGUCACAUCAGAGCACUCAGUUUGGCAGAGCUUUUCUGCUGAAUGUUUACUCACAUUCACUGUCCGAGAUUCUAUACUGGGGGUACACACGUCCUCUGCCCUAAGGCAAUUUUGAGUCCAAGAGACAUUUUGAGGCCUAAAAAUCAUAGGAAACUGCCCCUGAGCUCACACAUAUUUCCAAUGGUGUCCCCAAUUUCAGGGAAUCCAUGGAUUACCUAAGCCAGCCCCUCCAGUUCAGCUAAGAAACUCUAGUCUAUAUAUCAAGUUUUGUAUCAUAUGUAUUGCUCUGAACUCAGAAAUUUCCCUUCCAUUUAUGGAUUCUAUGAAUAAAAUAUCACAUGUACAAAAA